CUUAUGCUCGAUAGCUCUAUAAAACACAUCUACCACAAAGGUGGUUCUCGGUACGCGGGUGGACAAAAUGACCCAUUCGGCAUCUCAGCGUCUCUUCCCAACCACCCUGGUGUGCGAUCAAUAAACUUAUGUAUAGAGUGACUGUGUAGACAGGAAUGGAGACCAUUUAUGGACUGAAUAAGACAGAAUGCCUCUUAUUAAGGGUGACCUGGCUGCUGCCACUGCGGGAUGUCCAGAGACCCCAAAAACCACCAUUUCCUAGACAGACCGGCCAGUCAUCUGGAGACAGACUGGAGUUGGUUAUACUGGAUACAUUUCAUCAUGAAAGGGAAAACGAUCUGCCCUUACUGGCUAUACUCUACGUCUCUGGAGAACGCGACCUAGGUUUCGUCUCUCUUUGUACCCGCAGCCUCUGACAUCGUGUUUGGCUCAUGGUAGGUCAGCGCUGGACAAAUCUGUCCUAAGAACUGAGGGCCAGGUGCCUUGCUGGCUGGGUGGAGAAUGAUCCUUCCCUCGGGGAGCUCUCAGGCGAGAGGAGAGAGACAUGAGAAAAGAGGCGGAAGGGUGUGAGUUUGAGGUGGCAAGGGAGCUCACAGGAGGGUGCCUUUCACAAUCGGAGAGCCUUCCAUUAAACUGGGCUCGACACGCCCUUGGACUUUGGCAAUGGUGCCUUGCCAGGGCAAGCACUGAAGAAAUGUUUGCACGGGUUUGGACCACGUCUGCCCCAUUCACUGCUGUCUCCCCAACCUCUAGCAGAGCUGACACAUUGUGGUGAGCAGUAAAUAUCUGCACGGUGAACGCACGCGUGAACUAACAGCCAAGGCCUUCCUGUGUUUUUCAAACGCCUUUCCCCUCACUUUCUGACUCGUCCUUGUCCAAAGGUGUGAGCUAAUCCUUACCUCAGUGGAGGUGGUGCUGAAGAUCAAAGGCAGUAAUAAAUAUGAAAGCACUUAGUAUAGUA